rnacentral:rRNA from 1 species
CCUACGGGAGGCAGCAGUGGGGAAUAUUGGGCAAUGGGCGCAAGCCUGACCCAGCAACGCCGCGUGAAGGAAGAAGGCUUUCGGGUUGUAAACUUCUUUUAAGGGGGAAGAGCAGAAGACGGUACCCCUUGAAUAAGCCACGGCUAACUACGUGCCAGCAGCCGCGGUAAUACGUAGGUGGCAAGCGUUGUCCGGAUUUACUGGGUGUAAAGGGCGUGCAGCCGGAGAGACAAGUCAGAUGUGAAAUCCACGGGCUCAACCCGUGAACUGCAUUUGAAACUGUUUCCCUUGAGUGUCGGAGAGGAAAUCGGAAAUCCUUGUGUAGCGGUGAAAUGCGUAGAUAUAAGGAAGAACACCAGUGGCGAAGGCGGAUUACUGGACGAUAACUGACGGUGAGGCGCGAAAGCGUGGGGAGCAAACAGGAUUAGAUACCCCUGUAGUC